GCAGGGGUGGCGGAGCCUGGUCAAACGCGACAGACUCAAGAUCUGUUGGCUUAGGCCUGCGAGAGUUCAAAUCUCUCCCCCUGCACCA
rnacentral:tRNA from 1 species